rnacentral:rRNA from 1 species
UCCCCUAGUAACUGCGAGUGAAGCGGGAAAAGCUCAAAUUUAAAAUCUGGCAGUCUUUGGCUGUCCGAGUUGUAUUCUGGAGAAGCGUUUUCCGCGCUGGACCGUGUACAAGUCUCUUGGAAUAGAGCGUCAUAGAGGGUGAGAAUCCCGUCUUUGACACGGACUACCAGUGCUUUGUGAUGCGCUCUCAAAGAGUCGAGUUGUUUGGGAAUGCAGCUCAAAAUGGGUGGUGAAUUCCAUCUAAAGCUAAAUAUUGGCGAGAGACCGAUAGCGAACAAGUACCGUGAGGGAAAGAUGAAAAGCACUUUGGAAAGAGAGUUAAACAGUACGUGAAAUUGCUGAAAGGGAAACGCUUGAAGUCAGUCGCGUCAUUCAGAACUCAGCCUGGCUUUCGCCUGGUGUAUUUUCUGGUUGACGGGCCAGCAUCAGUUUUGACCGCUGGAAAAAGGCCAUAGGAAUGUGGCACCUUCGGGUGUGUUAUAGCCUAUGGUCAUAUACAGCGGUUGGGACUGAGGACCGCAGCACGCCUUUAUGGUUGGGGUUCGCCCACAUUCGUGCUUAGGAUGCUGGCGUAAUGGCUUUAAACGACCCGUCUUGAAACACGGACCAAGGAGUCUAACAUGCCUGCGAGUGUUUGGGUGGAAAACCCGAGCGCGUAAUGAAAGUGAAAGUUGGGAUCCCUGUCGCGGGGAGCACCGACGCCCGGACCAGACCUUUUGUGACGGAUCCGCGGUAGAGCAUGUAUGUUGGGACCCGAAAGAUGGUGAACUAUGCCUGAAUAGGGUGAAGCCAGAGGAAACUCUGGUGGAGGCUCGUAGCGAUUCUGACGUGCAAAUCGAUCGUCAAAUUUGGGUAUAGGGGCGAAAGACUAAUCG